rnacentral:rRNA from 1 species
GUCCACCACCAUGCCACCCUGAACAAGCCCGAUGUCUGAUCUUGGAAGCUAAGCAGGGUCAGGCUUGGUUAGUACUUGGGUGGGAGACCACCUAGGUGUUGUAGGCA